GACGAACGCUGGCGGCGUGCUUAACACAUGCAAGUCGAGCGAUGAAGCUCCUUCGGGAGUAGAUUAGCGGCGGACGGGUGAGUAACACGUGGGUAACCUGCCUCAUAGAGGGGAAUAGCCUUCCGAAAGGAAGAUUAAUACCGCAUAAGAUUGUAAUACCGCAUGGUAUAGCAAUUAAAGGAGUAAUCCGCUAUGAGAUGGACCCGCGUCGCAUUAGCUAGUUGGUGAGGUAACGGCUCACCAAGGCGACGAUGCGUAGCCGACCUGAGAGGGUGAUCGGCCACAUUGGAACUGAGACACGGUCCAGACUCCUACGGGAGGCAGCAGUGGGGAAUAUUGCGCAAUGGGGGAAACCCUGACGCAGCAACGCCGCGUGAGUGAUGAAGGCCUUCGGGUUGUAAACUCUGUCUUUAGGGACGAAAAUGACGGUACCUAAGGAGGAAGCCACGGCUAACUACGUG
rnacentral:rRNA from 1 species